GUAGGUGGCAAGCGUUGUCCGGAAUUAUUGGGCGUAAAGCGCGCGCAGGCGGUUCUUUAAGUCUGAUGUGAAAGCCCACGGCUCAACCGUGGAGGGUCAUUGGAAACUGGAGAACUUGAGUACAGAAGAGGGAAGCGGAAUUCCACGUGUAGCGGUGAGAUGCGUAGAGAUGUGGAGGAACACCAGUGGCGAAGGCGGCUUUCUGGUCUGUAACUGACGCUGAGGCGCGAAAGCGUGGGGGAGCAAACAGGAUUAGAUACCCUGGUAGUCCACGCCGUAAACGAUGAGUGCUAAGUGUUAGGGGGUUUCCGCCCCUUAGUGCUGCAGCUAACGCAUUAAGCACUCCGCCUGGGAGUACGGCCGCAAGGCUG
rnacentral:rRNA from 1 species